rnacentral:rRNA from 1 species
AGCAUAAUCACUAGUCUUUUAAUUGGAGGCUUGUAUGAAUGGUUGAAUGAGAUAUAUACUGUCUUUUUUAAAAUUAUAUAGAAUUUUAUUUUUUAAUUAAAAAGUUAAAAUAAAAUUAAAGGACGAGAAGACCCUAUAGAUCUUUAUUUUUGUUAUUUAUAAAUUAAAAAGAAUUUUAAAAUUUAUAAUUUAAUAAAAAAUUUUAUUGGGGUGAUAUUAAAAUUUAAAAAACUUUUAAAAUUUAUUAACAUAAAUAUAUGAAUAAAUGAUCCAGUUUUAUUGAUUAAAAAAUUAAGUUACCUUAGGGAUAACAGCGUAAUUUUUUUUUAGAGUUCAUAUCGACAAAAAAGAUUGCGACCUCGAUGUUGGAUUAAGAGUUAUUUUUAGGUGUAGAAGUUUAAAGUUUAGGUCUGUUCGACCUUUGAAUUCUUACA